UGGGGAAUAUUGGACAAUGGGCGAAAGCCUGAUCCAGCCAUGCCGCGUGUGUGAAGAAGGUCUUCGGAUUGUAAAGCACUUUAAGUUGGGAGGAAGGGCAGUAAGCGAAUACCUUGCUGUUUUGACGUUACCGACAGAAUAAGCACCGGCUAACUCUGUGCCAGCAGCCGCGGUAAUACAGAGGGUGCAAGCGUUAAUCGGAAUUACUGGGCGUAAAGCGCGCGUAGGUGGUUCGUUAAGUUGAAUGUGAAAGCCCCGGGCUCAACCUGGGAACUGCAUCCAAAACUGGCGAGCUAGAGUAGGGCAGAGGGUGGUGGAAUUUCCUGUGUAGCGGUGAAAUGCGUAGAUAUAGGAAGGAACACCAGUGGGGAAGGCGACCACCUGGGCUCAUACUGACACUGAGGUGCGAAAGCGUGGGGAGCAAACAGG
rnacentral:rRNA from 1 species